AGAGUUUGAUCCUGGCUCAGGAUGAACGCUAGCGACAGGCUUAACACAUGCAAGUCGAGGGGCAGCGGGGUGUGGCAACACACUGCCGGCGACCGGCGCACGGGUGAGUAACGCGUAUGCAACUUGCCUAUCAGAGGGGGAUAACCCGGCGAAAGUCGGACUAAUACCGCAUAAAACAGGGGUCCCGCAUGGGGAUAUUUGUUAAAGAUUCAUCGCUGAUAGAUAGGCAUGCGUUCCAUUAGGCAGUUGGCGGGGUAACGGCCCACCAAACCGACGAUGGAUAGGGGUUCUGAGAGGAAGGUCCCCCACAUUGGUACUGAGACACGGACCAAACUCCUACGGGAGGCAGCAGUGAGGAAUAUUGGUCAAUGGCCGGGAGGCUGAACCAGCCAAGUCGCGUGGAGGACGAAGGUCCUAUGGAUUGUAAACUUCUUUUGUGCGGGAAUAAAGUCGGGGACGCGUCCCCGUUUGCAUGUACCGCACGAAUAAGCAUCGGCUAACUCCGUGCCAGCAGCCGCGGUAAUACGGAGGAUGCGAGCGUUAUCCGGAUUUAUUGGGUUUAAAGGGUGCGUAGGCGGACUGUUAAGUCAGUGGUGAAAGGGUGUGGCUCAACCAUACGAUUGCCGUUGAUACUGGUGGUCUUGAGUGUAAACGAGGUAGGCGGAAUGUGAUGUGUAGCGGUGAAAUGCUUAGAUAUGUCACAGAACCCCGAUUGCGAAGGCAGCUUACCAGGAUACAACUGACGCUGAGGCACGAAAGCGUGGGUAUCAAACAGGAUUAGAUACCCUGGUAGUCCACGCAGUAAACGAUGAAUACUAGCUGUUGGCGAUACAUGGUCAGCGGUAAAGCGAAAGUAUUAAGUAUUCCACCUGGGGAGUACGCCGGCAACGGUGAAACUCAAAGGAAUUGACGGGGGCCCGCACAAGCGGAGGAACAUGUGGUUUAA
rnacentral:rRNA from 1 species